rnacentral:rRNA from 1 species
UUUCUAGAUCUGAGUAUAUCAAUAUUACCUUGUUCAGAACUUAAAGAGAAAUCUUGAGUUUAUGGACUUCAGGGGGAGUAUGGUCACAAGGCUGAAACUUAAAGGAAUUGACGGAAGGGCACACCAGGAGUGGAGCCUGCGGCUUAAUUUGACUCAACACGGGAAAACUUACCAAGACCGAACAGUAGAAGGAAUGACAGAUUAAGAGUUCUUUCAUGAUUUAUUGGGUAGUGGUGCAUGGCCGUUCUUAGUUGGUGGAGUGAUUUGUCAGGUUAAUUCCGGUAACGAACGAGACUGAAACCUAUUAAUUAGUUUUCUGCCUAUAAGACAGAAAUGUUCGCAAGAACAGGUGCGUAAGUACCACUUCUUAAAGGGACACAUUUCAAUUGUCCUAUUUUAAUUGUAGUUAUCUAAUUUCGG